rnacentral:rRNA from 1 species
UUAGAGUUUGAUCCUGGCUCAGGAUGAACGCUAGCUACAGGCUUAACACAUGCAAGUCGAGGGGCAGCGGGUUGAAAGCUUGCUUUCAAUGCCGGCGACCGGCGCACGGGUGCGUAACGCGUAUCAAACCUGCCUCAUACUCGGGGAUAGCCUUGCGAAAGUAAGAUUAAUACCCGAUGUUGUUGCUUUCUCGCAUGGGAGGGUAACCAAAGAUUUAUCGGUAUGAGAUGGUGAUGCGUCCGAUUAGGUAGUAGGCGGGGUAACGGCCCACCUAGCCUUCGAUCGGUAGGAGUUCUGAGAGGAAGGUCCCCCACACUGGAACUGAGACACGGUCCAGACUCCUACGGGAGGCAGCAGUGAGGAAUAUUGGUCAAUGGGCGAGAGCCUGAACCAGCCAAGUAGCGUGCAGGAUGACGGCCCUCCGGGUUGUAAACUGCUUUUAGUUGGGAAUAAAAAAAGGGGCUUGUCCCUUCUUGUAUGUACCUUCGGAAAAAGGACCGGCUAAUUCCGUGCCAGCAGCCGCGGUAAUACGGAAGGUCCAGGCGUUAUCCGGAUUUAUUGGGUUUAAAGGGAGCGUAGGCGGAUUGUUAAGUCAGCGGUUAAAGGGUGUGGCUCAACCAUGCAUUGCCGUUGAAACUGGCGAUCUUGAGUGCAGACAGGGAUGCCGGAAUUCGUGGUGUAGCGGUGAAAUGCUUAGAUAUCACGAAGAACUCCGAUCGCGAAGGCAGGUGUCCGGGCUGCAACUGACGCUGAGGCUCGAAAGUGUGGGUAUCAAACAGGAUUAGAUACCCUGGUAGUCCACACAGUA